UACGAAGGGGGCUAGCGUUGCUCGGAAUCACUGGGCGUAAAGCGCACGUAGGCGGCUUUUUAAGUCAGGGGUGAAAUCCUGGAGCUCAACUCCAGAACUGCCUUUGAUACUGAGAAGCUUGAGUCCGGGAGAGGUGAGUGGAACUGCGAGUGUAGAGGUGAAAUGCGCAGAUAUCAGGAAGAACACCUAUGGCGAAGGCAGCUCUCUGGGACGGUACUGACGCUGAGACGCGAAAGCGUGGGGAGCGAACAGG
rnacentral:rRNA from 1 species